UUGCUAGUUGUGUGUUCACGUGUAACUUUAUUUUAAAAUAAUAAUAAUAAUAAAAAGUAAUCCUUGAAUAUUCACUGUGCCAUUUCUUCAUGGCCACCAAGAUUAAUUGGGGAAUGAAGCAACUGAGGAACCCGAGGCAGCCGCGGCCUGCAAGGCGCACAACAUGGCCGCCUCCAGACAUGAGGGGUUUGCUGCCUGGGCCCAAUUCUCUCCUCUCUCUCCUCUUCCUCCUCCUCCGUGUUUUAAUAAUUCCUGGGUGACUGAAACUGACCUUGAGGUCAGGAGCCUCCGGUUAACAGCCAGGAAAUGCCCUUCCCAUUGGUCAUUAUUGCCUAAUUAACAACUUGAAAUAUUUCACAAUAAAUCUCAACGACACAAGAUGGCCAUUUCGAGGGUGGGGGCUGCGGAGCACUUGGCAGCAUUUGCAUUUAAAAGCCCCCAGUGAGAUGCAGAGGGCUGAGUGCAUGCCUCAGCUCUUGCUCACCCGGGAGUGGUGCUUCCAGUCUCGCUCACCCUCCGAAGAAAGUUUUCACAAAUACAAUGGCUAGGAAUGACUGGCUUUAAGGCCAGGUAUUUCCAACCACUGCCACGGUGCCAGAAAGGGCUUAUAAAAGCCAGGAAUGAGGAGGCAGGCCUUAGCAGCCCCUUCUCUCCCUCAGACGAUGAAUUCUUGGCUUGAAUCAACACUGGGCUGGCCCGAGCCAUGGCGUGCUGGUGGCCUUGAGAGUGGGAGCUAUGGCUGGGCCUUCCUCACCUCCAGCCGCCAUCCAGGACUGUCAGCCCCAGGGGGUUGCCAAUGAUGUGGUCCCUAUACAUAAUAUUGCGAGGGAUAAUCCCAUUCCAAGGGGUUUCAUAGUUUUUGUGGCACGUCGAAGGGGGUGUUAGGAGAGUGGGGUUUGGGAAACGGCCUCCCUCUAGGUGAGGAGGAAGGUAACAGCAGAGGGAAUGCCCUGGGUGGCUGGCAGGGGGAAGUAACGCAGGAACUGCUGCGGGGCGAGUGGGCAUGAAGGCCAGAGCUAGUAACUGGGUGUCGGGGUGACCUCCGUGGGCUGCUUUAAGGCCCUAAUCUGGCAGAAAAGCAACGCAUGGAGGGGUCCAGCAAAUGCCUGGAACUGGGUCCUGCCUCUGUGAGCCUAAAAGGGGAGAAAGAAGAGACAAAAGACGAAAUCCCCUAGUCUUUUGGCACUGGUGAGCAGAGUUGGUUCAGCUACCCACAGCAGAGCAGCCUGAAGCCAUGAUCAUUACAAGCGAACCCCUGCCCUGCCACAGUGUCCAGCAGCACACGUCUGCUGAGCAUCAGCAGUGCAAGGACAUUUAUGUCUGCUGAGAUGGAGCACAUGGUGUGGUGUGCACCCCAGCACACUGCUUUGUCCUGCCCCACCAGAGAUUUUGCCAGUGCCCCAGCCAAUUCACCCAUUAGAAAAUGUAAUAAAAUUGAACCAACAGAGGGGAUUUGCAUAUGUGAACAUGGAAUUGCUCAUGUGGCACCCAGAAGCCUUCAGAAUGGAUUUUGCAUCUUCUGGCAACACACCUUUAUACAGAGGUUUAAUACAGAGUGUAGUAAAUUUCAUAGGUUUUUAACUUCCAUCUGUAGGCACUGAGAGUUGCGGUGCUGUAUUUACAGUAAAAAUGUGUACCAUGUGUCAAUAUAAUGAGAGCAGCUUAUAGAGCUGCUCCUCAUGGAGCUAUGGAGGGACCAGGGCAACCACUGGGCUGAGCGCCCUGUAACCACCCGGUUCUUCUGGGGGAGGAUCACCAGAUGUUUGCUACAGUUACCAUGCAACGUCAUCGCGGACUCCUGUCUCUGCAGCUACACCUGCAAAAUCCAGUCCUUGAGAAUGCAGCUUGGAGCAGAGCUCUGCUUCCCCUUGCCAUGCAGCAGUGCUGCAGCUCACCAGCUAUCAGCAAUGGGCAAACGCCACAAAGGAGGAAACAUGGUGCCAGCAAAACCUCUGUAUUUUCCAGUGCAUCACAAUUAAGCAAACACUUGGGGUAAUCUAUUAGCGGGGACAUGCAAGGGAAAACAGUGGCCUUGUGAUCUUCUUUGCUGCUAAAUGAUAAAAAAAAAGUCAAAGGGUUUGGACUCUUUGUAUUUGUCCCUAAAAGUUUAUUUUUUUCCCUCCAUGCUUUUCCCCUGUGUGCAAUACAUUUCAGAUUUUGUGCAGCCAGGUUUGGGUGGAGGACUCUGAGGAAGGCUGGCUAUUUAGAGGGAUUAGAGGUUUUCAAGAAUCUAGACUACAGAAGUAAAAGAGUAAGUGAAUUUGUUUUCUUUGCUUAUUUAAAUUGCCCACGGGGAAAAUCUUCAGCUUCAACCCACGUGACCCAUUUUCUUGACAUCGAGGUCAGUUUUCUGAUUUCAUCAUCCCUGUAAGAUGACUGGAGAGUGAAAGGUAAGUAGAAAAAAGGUGAGCUGUUCUGUAAAUUCCUUUCUUAUGUGCACGUACUGGCUGCAUCUCUUCUAAACUCCUUUGGUAUGUCUUCAAAACCAACUUUUAAAGCUUAAUUGGUGUAUCUGUUCGGGUUUUAAACCUGAUGUGUGUGUAUAUAUAGGUGUAUGGAGGGGUGGAUAAUUUAAAAAACACCCUUGCCAAGUACCCUGAAGGAGCACGGGCUGCACGAGCUGCAGAACCCUCCAAGAUGAGACAGAAAAGACCCCUCGUACUGGUGCCCAUCUCUAUCAGUGGAGAAACCUUCCCCAAACCAUCACCUCAGCAGUUGUUUCCUUAAAAGGUGGCGCAUCGUUUAAGGUAUCGUAUAGUCUGCAUAUGCCCUGAAAGCAGAGGAAAGGGUAAAGAGAGCAUCUAAUGACAUGUUUUUACAGUGCAAAUGUAGCUCAGUGACAAUGCCUGCUCCUUUUCCCGAAAGGGCAAAAGGAAUGGCAGGCUUGUGUUGAAGGAAUUGUGUUAGCUGCAGCCUGAAUUGCGCUGAGCAAUGUGUUUUCAGCUCAUUUCUGUGCCUGUAUUUGAAAUAUUUGCUUUUCUGCUGUUUUUGCCUAUGGGAUUCUUUCUUUUUGUGGUACUGGAGCUUUUAUUCUUCUUGUAGUAUAAGCAAUUAGCUGUAGGAAUGUACGAUCCAUCACAGCUUUAGUUUUUAAAGUAUGAAUGAUGCGCAUCGUGCCAAAAGCUGUUUCUCUUCCUGCUUUUCAGAAAAGGGCAUAACUCAAUAUAUGUAUUCUGAUUUCACAUUCAGCAUUGUGGUGUCCUGAUUUUAUUUUUUAACGUGGAGUCUGCUUCCUGCUCUAACGACCUGAGCCCAAUUACACACACGGUCUAGCAACAACUUCCUUCGGAGCAGCGCUCUGGCUAACAGCAACGGAGCCGAUGCCACUGCUGCUCCCGCUGGAUGGAAAAUGGAGGGAAUGAAAAAAAAGAAAUUAAAUCAGAAUAUCCCUCCAGCGUGGAGCGAUCACACCACUGCAGGCAAAAUGUCACAGCUCCAGGAGGUCCUUCAGGACCACUGGGCAGAGAUGCAGGGGUCCUGGGGCUGAUCCCCCCCCUUUUCCCUGGCAGAGUCUGGCGAGGGACCGUUACCUCUUCCCCUCCCGGUGAGGAUGAGGAGCCCGAGGUGCAGAGGAAUGCCCAGGGAAGGCAGCAGCCCCGCCGUGGGCACAUUUUCUCCUCGCCUCCUGCACAAGCGGGGGCAGGCCGAGGGCACCCGACGGCUCGUCCCCGUCCCCCCCCGGCUGCUUUUUG